rnacentral:lncRNA from 1 species
UUUGGGCUACAACUAUUAUAUUUGGAAAUUUUGAAGUUUGAAUUUGAGUUUUUGAGAGAAACAGUCCCAAACCCGCUGUCUGCGCACGCAACCGCGAGUGCACGUGCACGCGAUCGGGGGUGAUCGUGCACGGCGUGUCAUGGUGCGCCACAUCGCGUUGGCCCCUUGGUGCAGCACCGCCGACCAUUCGCCGCCGGCGAUGGGACGGCACAUCCCCGAGUGCUCACCCAAUUGCGCGCCCGCACCAUCCCCCUCCCGACCGGCUUAUCUUCGCCGGCCAAUGCUCCAGUGCGCACCCAUGCCAUCCUGCAGAUGCUCACCGCCACAUCAUCGCCUGCCAUUGACCUCCUCCUGGCCAACACCCGCUGGUGAAGUGAUAGCACGCGCGCCCCUCUUUGCCACUCCGUGAGCGAGGGAAAUCAGUUGCCCACGCUAAAGAUCCCUCUCCGCCACUAAUCGGCCGCGCGCCCAGGCCCCCUCGCCGCCACGGCCAACUGCUGAGUGCCCCAGUCUGUUCUGCGGGUCACCAGCCUCCCCGUG